rnacentral:rRNA from 1 species
AGAGUUUGAUCCUGGCUCAGAACGAACGCUGGCGGCAGGCCUAACACAUGCAAGUCGAACGAGAAGCCACCUUCGGGUGGUGGAUAGUGGCAGACGGGUGAGUAACGCGUGGGAACGUGCCUUUCGGUUCGGGAUAACCCAGGGAAACUUGGGCUAAUACCGGAUACGCCCUCCGGGGGAAAGAUUCAUUGCCGAAAGAUCGGCCCGCGUCGGAUUAGCUAGUUGGUGGGGUAAAAGCCUACCAAGGCGACGAUCCGUAGCUGGUCUGAGAGGAUGACCAGCCACACUGGGACUGAGACACGGCCCAGACUCCUACGGGAGGCAGCAGUGGGGAAUAUUGGACAAUGGGCGCAAGCCUGAUCCAGCCAUGCCGCGUGGGUGAAGAAGGCCCUAGGGUUGUAAACCCCUUUCAGCGGGGAAGAUAAUGACG